GGUGGUGCAUGGUUGUCGUCAGCUCGUGCCCUAAGGUGUUGGGUUAAGUCUCACAAUGAGCGCAACCCUCGUGUUUAGUUGCCACUAUGAGUUUGGAACCCUGAACAGACCGCCGGUGUUAAGCCGGAGGAAGGAGAGGACGGGGCCAAGUCAUCAUGCCCC
rnacentral:rRNA from 1 species